rnacentral:rRNA from 2 species
AAAGAAACCAACAGGGAUUGCCUCAGUAACGGCGAGUGAAGCGGCAAGAGCUCAAAUUUGAAAUCUGGCCCCUCCGGGGUCCGAGUUGUAAUUUGUAGAGGAUGCUUCGGGUGCGGCCCCCGUCUAAGUGCUCUGGAACGGGCCAUCGGAGAGGGUGAGAAUCCCGUCUGGGACGGGGUGUCCGCGUCCAUGUGAAGCUCCUUCGACGAGUCGAGUUGUUUGGGAAUGCAGCUCUAAAUGGGUGGUAAAUUUCAUCUAAAGCUAAAUACUGGCCGGAGACCGAUAGCGCACAAGUAGAGUGAUCGAAAGAUGAAAAGCACUUUGAAAAGAGAGUUAAACAGCACGUGAAAUUGUUGAAAGGGAAGCGCUUGCGACCAGACUCGCUUCCGGGGUUCAGCCGGCUUUCGGGCCGGUGUACUUCCCCGGGGGCGGGCCAGCGUCGGUUUGGGCGGCCGGUCAAAGGCCCCUGGAAUGUAACGCCCCUCGGGGCGCCUUAUAGCCAGGGGUGUCAUGCGGCCAGCCUGGACCGAGGAACGCGCUUCGGCACGGACGCUGGCAUAAUGGUCGCAAACGAC